CUUGUCUUAUAUUUAUGCUUAUGUUUGUUCGGGCCGAGUGUGGCUGUCUUAUGUUUAUGGCUAAGUAUGGUCAUUUUACUUUGUCGGGACUGGCCACAUGUGGCUGUGAAUCCCUGCCGCUUCGUGGCAUUAUCUAAUGCAUUUAAGUUUAGCGUUUUAAGAGCUUUAUGAAUACUUGUGAUAAGUGUAGAGGGAAGAAUAUGAGUAGUCACUUCAUGUCUAACUCUUAGUGAAUUGUUAUGUCGUUGCUUCUUUAAGCUGAGUGUAUUCGAAAAUUUUGAAAUUUUUGCGAAGUUUCGUGAGCGUUUAGAUAUGAACGAAGAGACAUGUUUUAGGAUCUCGUAUCAAUUUUGAUAUCAUGUCUAGAGAUGUUAGAGACCAUAGUGCUGACUUUAGGGCAAGACCUAGGUUUACUAUCGGCUUAAGGCUUUGCGACGACUAAUCGGCUUUCGUUUUACAUGUUUACGAUUUUAACCUGAUUCGUACCUAUUUAAAGUCCGUGAAUUGUUAUCGGCUUAUAUGACUUGUCUUGGUAGGAACCGAGCUACUUCCAAAGACUGUUUGGAGGUGAUGACCAAAAUUUCGGCUUCUUGUAUAGCGCACUAUGUUAUCCUUGUGGGAUGUAAGAAGAUCAUUUUCACAGAAAAGGUCUGAUUAUAGGUUCGUUUAGAGAACUUUUUGAUUUGUCGGUCGGGACCAAUAGACGGAUGUUUUUUAAGAUGGUCUUGCUGAUUUAUAGUCGCAAACAAACUGUUUUAUGGAAUAAUAUUUUCGAGAAAUCGUGACGUCUCGCUUUUUCCGAAAAUACUUUUUUUCAUUGAAAUAAUUGUGAUUUUUUCCGUAAAGAAAAUAGAGUUAGGAUCGUGUUUCGGCCGGGAGUCUCACUUUGACUAUGACCAGGAAUUAAUUUGUAAUAGUUUUGACGGAAUAAUUUUUCUUUUUAAAAAGGUUUCUUUCAUAUACUGCUUUGCGGGUUUGUGGGGAUGCUUGUAAAAAGGCUAAUUUCGACAAAGGAAUGGUUAAUAGAACAUUCAUAAUUCGCUUUAAGAAUUGAUUUUUGUUUUUGUGUUAUGCGAUAUUGUUAUAUUUUUUACUUAGGCAUUUUGAGUGAAUCUCGAUUUGCUAAUGUUGUCGUAAGUAAUGUUGUGAGAUUAAAUGUUGCGAUAAAAAAGAUCUGCCACUAGAAGUCAUAUUGUGUUUUCCUAUUGCUGAUUUUUUUUCAAAAUAUUUAGUACAAGUGUGAAUAUCUUAAACUUAUGGGAGUAUACGAGUAUACGUAUACGUACCCACUCCCCCCCUUUUUAGAGAGGGGGAUAGCUGAACUCUUCUUUCGGCGAGCUGCCUACAAACCCCUUUAGAGGAUCAAGCCAUCUCGUAGUUCAGUUGAUUGCCGCGAGUUUUUUACUCGCUGGGUGAGGCUGCGUUGAUCACUUUAGUCGUGCUGAUUGUCGUAGGAUCGGUGGCGGUUUCCGGAUCUGGUUUUGCCGGAAUGUUGAGAGCGUUAGGCUCAAAGACUUGGUCGUUGUCCGUGGCCGUUUGUAAUAACCCUCACAAGUAGAUAUAAUUUUGAUCGAGAAAAUUCUUUUAGAUCAGAUUGAAGAUUAGUCAACUGGAACUAAAAAAUAAUAGUUAAAUUUACCCGGUGAGUUAAUUUGUCGACGUGACUGUCUUGAGGUUGGAAUACCUUCCCUUGAUAAUUUUGACCGAGUGUUAAUUAUUAUGAUCGAGUUUUAUAUAAGCUUGACGAGUUUAUCUAAAAUCAGGAUGGGAACUGAUGGAUGGGAAAUGUUUUGUCGAGAACUGGCCAGAAAUAAUUUCAGCUUCUUGUUAAUUAGUCACUAGAGUUGCACCUUCUUGCUUCUUCAGUAUUUAAGUCACAUGACCUGCGCCUACUUGCUUACAUGCUUGCUCAUUAGAAGUCACACGCUGGUCACAAGCUGUUUGCUUUAGCUGCUUGUAUCUUUCUUCAUAGACGGAAAAUGUUCAGCUGCUUGUGUUGCUUAGUGUGCUGAAGCAUGUCUCCAGCUGUCUAACCUCAGUUUUGUCUUUUGUGGGAGAAAAUCAUUAUCUGAAGUAACUCCUUAUGAUAUAAAAUACCUUCUUCUCUCCUCUGGACGUUCAUAACCUUCAGCAAAACAAGAAAAAUUUCAGAGAAAAUCUGAGAGAGAAAAUAAGAGGAAAAAUAAGAGAAAAAUUCUGAAGAGGAGACUGAGAAUGGACGACCCUUUCUAACCUUCGUGGGCCUUGAAUCAGUGGUUGUGGUGUGUGGAAAAUUUGUAGAUGGUUCAUGAGAUUCACGAGAUCAGUUCACAACUUAUCAGUGUCGAGUAUUAAACCGUACAACCAUGAGUAAAGUUUGGAGAGAAGUUCCAACCGAGAUUAUCUAACUGUCAGUUGUUGUGGUAAGCAUCAGUUUGUAGCUUCAGUCAUGUUCUGAACAGAACCAAUUGAUGAUAUCGUAAGCUACUCUAUGGAUCAGUUGGCUAAGCUCUUGUACAGUUCAGUUUAGUUUAGUUUUGGAUUGAAUCAGUCUCAUGGAACUGUUAACUAAUCUGACAUGAGCUGAUUGGAAUUAAUCCGAACUAAAUUAAUUUUAUUAUAAACUGAAUUGAUUUUGGUUUGAUCUUGACUAAACCAAGAUGAACUUUCCUCGAACUGAAAUGAUAAAGCUUAUCCUGAACCGAACUAGUCUGAUUUAAGUUGCUUCUUCACAACCGAAAUAUUAGAUUAAUGAUCAUCUAUACCGAACUGCUCUGUUCCAGGUCAGUGUUUGAGAUAAUCUUAAAAGAUCACACCUGUUCAUCCAGUAGAACCGUGUCCUGUCUUGGUUCAGUUCGUCGAAGAGAUUGGAAUGACCAGUCGGACCAUGUCUUGUCCUCACUCUAAUUCAGGAGUGAUCAGCCAGUGGUGAAUGUUUAGUUUGAGCUCGUGUCUAGUCUUCCUUAGUCAAUCUCAUGGAUUCAAAGGUGAGUCUAGAUAGAUAAUUGAAGAGUUAUGAAUGAGUGUUUAAUGGUUGAAAGUAUUUAUUAUAGAUGAUUGUUUCUUGAUAAAUAAUGAAUUGGUGAGGUGUCUACUUAGUGUAAACAGUUAAUAAAUAUUUAUGAAAUAUUAUCUGAAGUUUAUUCCGAGCCUUAGUACUUGUUCUCAAGUACUAAUAUAUAUAUAUAUAUAUAUAUAUAUAUAUAUAUGAACAAGUAUGGAAGUGUUAAUCAUGUUAAGUCUUUAUAAACAUGUCUUCCAAAAUAUUCUCGUAUGAAUGAUUAUUACCGUGAAUUGGUCUUGGGAUAUGGAACAAGGUCACGAAGACAAGAUGAUGAGGUCCUUGGAGGCCGUGUAGCUGCAUGCAACGUUAGAUGUUUGAUCUUAAAAUAUCCGAUGACAAUGUUGGUGAUACUAACCCGCUAGACUCGUUUAGCCUAUGUGGUUUCUCGGGUCUGGCAUAUAUAUAUAUA